UACAGAGGGUGCGAGCGUUAAUCGGAAUUCCUGGGCGUAAAGGGUGUGUAGGCGGUUGUGUUAGUCUUCUGUGAAAUUCUUCGGCUUAACCGGGGUCCCGCAGAGGAAACGGCACAACUAGAGGAUGCGGGAGGUGAAUGGAACUCAUGGAGUAGGGGUGAAAUCCGUUGAUAUCAUGGGGAACACCAAAUGCGAAGGCAAUUCACUGGCGCACUCCUGACGCUGAGACACGAAAGCGUAGGUAGCGAAUGGG
rnacentral:rRNA from 1 species